rnacentral:rRNA from 1 species
GAUAAACGCUGGCGGCGCACAUAAGACAUGCAAGUUGAACGGACUUAAUCGAAAUAUUUAUAUUUUGAAGCGGUUAGUGGCGGACUGGUGAGUAACGCGUAAGGAACCUGCCUAUUAGAGGGGAAUAACAGUGAGAAAUCAUUGCUAAUACCGCAUAUGCCAUAGAUAUCACAUGAUAACAGUGGGAAAGGAGCAAUCCGCUAAUAGAUGGCCUUGCGUCUGAUUAGAUAGUUGGUGGGGUAACGGCCUACCAAGUCGACGAUCAGUAGCCGGACUGAGAGGUUGAACGGCCACAUUGGGACUGAGAUACGGCCCAGACUCCUACGGGAGGCAGCAGUCGGGAAUAUUGCGCAAUGGAGGAAACUCUGACGCAGUGACGCCGUGUAUAGGAAGAAGGUUUUCGGAUUGUAAACUAUUGUCGUUAGGGAAGAGAAAGGACAGUACCUAAGGAGGAAGCUCCGGCUAACUACGUG